GAUGCCGGAACCCCGUUAAGGGCUCCAGGGUGCUAGAUAGACGGGUUUGCAACCCGCAGGUCGCCGGUUCGAAUCCGGUCGGCCCCACCA
rnacentral:tRNA from 1 species